UGGGGAAUUUUGGACAAUGGGCGCAAGCCUGAUCCAGCCAUGCCGCGUGCAGGAUGAAGGCCUUCGGGUUGUAAACUGCUUUUGUACGGAACGAAAAGGUGCCUUCUAAUAAAGGGCGCUCAUGACGGUACCGUAAGAAUAAGCACCGGCUAACUACGUGCCAGCAGCCGCGGUAAUACGUAGGGUGCAAGCGUUAAUCGGAAUUACUGGGCGUAAAGCGUGCGCAGGCGGUUCGGAAAGAAAGGGGUGAAAUCCCAGGGCUUAACGUUGGAACUGCACUUUUAACUACCGGGCUAGAGUACGGCAGAGGGGGGUAGAAUUCCACGUGUAGCAGUGAAAUGCGUAGAGAUGUGGAGGAAUACCGAUGGCGAAGGCAGCCCCCUGGGAUGAUACUGACGCUCAUGGACGAAAGCGUGGGGAGCAAACA
rnacentral:rRNA from 1 species